rnacentral:rRNA from 1 species
UACGUAGGGUGCAAGCGUUGUCCGGAAUCAUUGGGCGUAAAGCGCGCGUAGGCGGCCCGAUAAGUCCGCUGUGAAAGUCAACGGCUCAACUGUUGGAUGCCGGUGGAUACUGUCGGGCUAGAGUGCGGAAGAGGCAAGUGGAAUUCCUGGUGUAGCGGUGGAAUGCGCAGAUAUCAGGAGGAACACCUAUAGCGAAGGCAGCUUGCUGGGACGUUACUGACGCUAAGGCGCGAAAGCGUGGGGAGCGAACAGG